CCUUUGACAAAACAGUGACAUCCCAAAAAGCUUCAGCUUCAGCAAGCUCAUGUUGUAACACCAAAGCCACUAUUAAUAACAAUGACAAAGAAACAACUACACAAAAUUCACAAUCAGACUCAGAUUCAUACCUUUUAACUGGUGUUGGUAGCGUCUUGGGUACAGCUGUGGUAUUAGGGUUGUCCGCUUGGGCGACUUGGAGAAGAUUCACCUAGAACACACAUUAAAAUUUAAACACACAAAGCCCCCCACCCCCUUCCCCUCACUCUAUUUAUUUAUGUAUGUUUAACUCCACCACUCUUAUAAACAUCUCACAGAUUUUUCAUUGGUUAUUUUGGUACAAGGUGCUCCUUUCAUUAUACUCAUUAUCCUUGUCGUAAUGGUGUUUGUGUACUUUAACAUGUUUAUAGCUCUCUUUAUCCUCCAUACAUCGUCUUAGAAAGUAUUUAUAUUUUUCUUUUUUCUAAUCACCAUUAAUUAUGUAUAUCCCACUACUAUACUAGUUACUACCUCCCGAAAUCCUGGUAGAACGAUAACGAUGAUUUUAGAAACGAUAACGAUAACUACGAUGACGAUGUAAACGGUCAUGUUAAUGGUGAUCAUGGCUA